UAAAGGUGAAGCCUCUCUUAAUUUCAGCCUCUACCUAUCAGAUUAUAGAUGGUAAUAGUUCUGUGUGGAGUUCUCCUUGGUUUUCGAGAUGGAAAGGAAUUUAUGAUCAUCUAAUUAUACAAGAGCAAUCUUUUGUCUAUCCUGCUAUUGUUAGAGAUCUUUGGUUGCCAAAUCAAAAAGCUUGAAAUGCGGAUCUAAUUAAUUCUUUGUUCUCUCCUAAGAUAGCUAAUGAUAUUCUUCAGAUCCUAUAGUUGUUGCUGCUGGACAAGAUGCCUUGAUUUGGAAACUAACACCUGCAGGAAAUUUCUCCUCCAAGAGUGCAUAUAAGCAUUGCUUCAACAACCUUGACCUACCAGCUAGACAGCGACCGAAAGAGGUUCAUCCUCAGAUCGUUGCUCUUCUUAAUCAAGUUUGGCAGGACAAACUCAUGGCGCCGCGACAUUUGCUUGGAGACUUCUUAGGAGAGCGCUUCCUACAGGUAAGAGAGCAAGUAAAUUCUCUAAACACAUAAAUGAAAACUGCUCCAGGUGUGGCAAGACAGAGGAUGAAAUGCACAUGUUUUUUCUUUGCCCUUUCUCUAAGGCAGCCUGGUUUUGCUCACCUUGGUUUAUUAAAACGGAAAUCCUUGCUGCUGUUAACCAUUGUAUUCCUAUCAUGAUCCGAACUUUGCUUAACUCUGGCCAUCCACAAAUUAAUCCUUCUAGCUUGUAUACUUUUCUGUGGUGCCUGUUGAAAUCUCGAAAUGAUGCUCUCUUUGCUAGGAAAUUUUGCAGGCCCUUUCAGGUGUAUGCAGCAGCAAACACAAUCAUACAAGGAACCAAAUUAGGAGAAAUCCCUGCUGAAGCUCAUGCUAUGCAUUGCUUAUAGGACCAACUGGUGCAGCCGACAAUACAAAAUCCACGCUCUUUUUCAGGCAACACAAUCUUUUGUGAUGCUGCGUGGGAAAUACAUCCAGCUCACACUCCUAAACAGGCAAGAAUUGGAGUCUUCAUUCAGGUUCAGAAUAAUGAUCGAACCCAUCAACUUCACAUUGCAGCUAUGUCUCCUAUGGCUUCUUCUCCUCUUCAAGCUGAGACUUUUGGUCUCAUGCUUGCAACCAGGCUGGUGGAAAUACUCAAUGUUUAGGAACCACAUUUCUUUACGGAUUGUUCAGUGCUAGUUUCGGCAGUAAAAUCGACGGACAUUCUCUCUGCUCCAGGUCCAUGGGACAACAGACCACUGCUUGCACAGAUACAAAACAGUCCUUCUUUUCAGAGUGGCAAAGUUGCUCACAUUAGCAGGGGAAACAAUGUCAAGGCGCAUCAUCUUGCACGCCUAGCUUUGAAAGUUCAAAACAGCCAUGUACUGUUUCGUUGCUUAUGUCUUCAUGCAGGACUUUGUUCAACUAGGGAUUCCCUCUCUGUAUCCAGCGU
rnacentral:lncRNA from 1 species